CGGCGAGCUUAUAUUUACACCGGGCUUAAAGCGUGGCCCCUUCUAUUUACUGUGUUACGAUCUCAAGGAACACACAGCUAGAAAAAUCUGCUUCAAAAGAAUUGGUUAUUAUACUUCUUUGAAAGUCUUUUUGGAUCAUGUAGAGAAUCCUAUGGUUCUGCCAAAGAUAAGGCAAUCGGUUGGUGAUGAGUUCUUUGGUGUUGCAUGAACUAAUCUCUCUUCUUUCUUUUCUUAUUUUUCAAGUUUCAAUUAAGUGGUCGGAUAUUAUUUGUUUAAGACUAGUUCUUAUUGGAUUUGAUGGUCACCCAUUGGUUAGUCUUUUGAUCAAUGGAUAUUUAUGUCUGUGGAAUAUUGUAAUGCAAUGUUUUUUUUCUCAACAUCUUUGGAAUGCAAUGUUUAUGACUUAACAAGAAAAAUGUUUAUGACUUGAUUAUAAUAAUCUCUGGUUUUGUGCGG